GAUGAACGCUGGCGGCGUGCCUAAUACAUGCAAGUCGAGCGAACUGAUUAGAAGCUUGCUUCUAUGACGUUAGCGGCGGACGGGUGAGUAACACGUGGGCAACCUGCCUGUAAGACUGGGAUAACUUCGGGAAACCGAAGCUAAUACCGGAUAGGAUCUUCUCCUUCAUGGGAGAUGAUUGAAAGAUGGUUUCGGCUAUCACUUACAGAUGGGCCCGCGGUGCAUUAGCUAGUUGGUGAGGUAACGGCUCACCAAGGCAACGAUGCAUAGCCGACCUGGGAGGGUGAUCGGCCACACUGGGACUGAGACACGGCCCAGACUCCUACGGGAGGCAGCAGUAGGGAAUCUUCCGCAAUGGACGAUAGUCUGACGGAGCAACGCCGCGUGAGUGAUGAAGGCUUUCGGGUCGUAAAACUCUGUUGUUAGGGAAGAACAAGUACAAGAGUAACUGCUUGUACCUUGACGGUACCUAACCAGAAAGCCACGGCUAACUACGUGCCAGCCGCCGCCGUAAUAC
rnacentral:rRNA from 1 species